rnacentral:rRNA from 1 species
GACGAACGCUGGCGGCGUGCUUAACACAUGCAAGUGGAGCGACGAACCGGGCUUCGGCCCGGGGCAAAGCCGCGAACGGGUGAGUAUCACGUGGGUAACCUGCCCCGAUGACCGGGACAACCCGAGGAAACUCGGGCUAAUACCGGAUGUGCUCUCAAUCCACCAGGGUUGAGAACAAAGGAAGCUUCGGCCUCCGCAUUGGGAUGGGCCCGCGGCCCAUUAGCUUGUUGGUGAGGUAAAGGCUCACCAAGGCGACGAUGGGUAGCUGGUCUGAGAGGACGAGCAGCCACACUGGGACUGAGACACGGCCCAGACUCCUACGGGAGGCAGCAGUGGGGAAUCUUGCGCAAUGCGCGAAAGCGUGACGCAGCAACGCCGCGUGAGGGAAGAAGGCCUUCGGGUUGUAAACCUCUUUCAGGAGGGACGAAGGUUCAGGCGCGAAUAGCGUCCUGGACUGACGGUACCUCCAGAAGAAGCCCCGGCUAACUACGUGCCAGCCGCCGCGGUAACAC